CUCUUAUCAAGAGAGGUGGAAGGACUGGCCUGAUGAAACCUCGGCAACCGAUAUAAAGUCGGUGCCAACUCCAGCAGAAUUAUAUUUCUGAUAGAUAAGAG
rnacentral:ncRNA from 1 species